ACCCCAGCGGCAAUGAACUUGAAUCCCCAAAUAUAUUCAAAUCAAAGCGUUAACAAAAAUUUACCGGACUGGAACUCGGUCUCAACAUAAUUGAUAAUGCAUGAAAUGUGACUGUCACAGAUAAAUCAUGCAAGGUGCACCUUUAACCAACUAAUGGAAUUGUAUAAUUUUAUGGAAAAUUUUCUAGAAACAAAAAAAAAACAAAACAAAACAAAAAACAUGGAUAGGAACACGACUAGCAUCCAGGUCGCAGCCAGAUCUUCAACAGUCAGGUAGUCAAUUGCUUGAGGUAUGUUUUAUGCAUGGCCUUUGUUGGCUCAGAGGAGUUCAAAGACAUUUGAUUCUUUGGGGAUUGGAACUUAUGUUGCGUGUGCCGCAGCAGUGAUUCAGAACAUAAAGGACUUCAAGCUAAUUAAAAUGAUACAUUUUUUCAUUUUUUUUGAUGCCACACCCAGGAACUCAAUGCCAAAUUCCUCACCCUUAGCAUAAGGUGGUUACCUGAGACAAUUACUUAGGAUCGGUCAGCUUUGUGGCUCGUUACUUGGCAACUAUUGAUUUUAUGUGCAAGCCAAACAAAUCCGAUCCGAUCCAAUCAGAACCCAACCCAAAAACCAAACCACAGACAACGCUUGAAACGCAGUGAAAUGCAAAUGAUUGAGGAUCGGAUCGCUCUAGUGUAGAUCUGAAGCAAAUCAAUAUCAAUAUCAAUCUCAUGCUGGAUGGCGUGUUGUCUUUCAUAUGGGAAGUUGUUGACCCAGACAAUAAAACAGAUAAGACCCAGACUCCAUGAUAAUUGAAAAACUUGCUAAGUUUGAAAUCUGAAA